rnacentral:tRNA from 1 species
GGGGGUGUAGCUCAGGGGUAGAGCGCUGCCUUCGCACGGCAGAGGCCAGGGGUUCAAAUCCCCUCACCUCCA